AUAUAUAUAUAUAUAUGUGUGUGUAUAUAUGUAGGUACCUACACGUUAGAACGAAUCCUCGAUGUGCGUAAAAACGUUUGAUCUCAUAUUUUCUCUUAAUCUUUAGCGUUGCGUAACGCUACGGUAUGCACAUCUAACGAGCAAUUCGAUUGCCAACGUGUCACACAGUCAAACGUCGCGAUUAUUAUUAUUUUUUUUUCUUUCUUUCUUUCUUUCUUUUUUCUUUUUUCUUCUUUCUUCGUUGGAUCUCUUGUAUUAUAUAUCUCCGUUAAUUUUUUUAACGGACCAACGCAUCGAUACACACUGAUAACAACCCGCGUUAUUCGAAACGUUAUUGCCAACUGCGCGAUUGCCAGUGUACCCACACGCGUUCCAAGGACUUAGACAGACCUCUCCACUGCCGAUUAACGUAAGUACCCAGUCUUUUUUCGUUUUCACUCCACCGAUCCUCUACUUACGUAUUUGCUCAGCAACGCGCGUCCAACGACUGCCAAAAGAAUAAAAAUCUUAUUAUAUACACGGUAUCUUGCGUCGUUGUCCUUGUUUCUUCGAUCCUACGAUCGGUUGCGUUACUAACAAGUUUUCUUUGUUUUUUUUUGAUAUCGAUGUAUAUUUUCCUCCCGGUAUCGCCAAUUUACCACCCGUGAUAACAUUGCCGAAAAUUCGCUGUAUAUUCUUUGAAACGCAAUGGAUAAUGGAGAAAAGGGAUGCUUGAUAGCGCGAACGAAAGAGAGAGGUGUACGGAUGGCAGGGAUAGAGAAAGAAAGUACGAAAACUAUAAUAAACGAUCAGGGGAAAUACGAAAGGACCAGAGUGUAACGUGACGACCGUUUUUUUCUUUUUUCUGUUUUCUUUCUUGAUAAUUUUCGGCCCUUUUGUCUUGUCCCUGCCCUUCUAUCGUGCCUUCUCCGCUCUGUAAUUCAAUAGGCUGUGAGAAUAUCUUUCAGUGCAAAGGUACGUCCGAUACUCGAUCAGUUGUCGAUAGUUGUUGUUGAAGAAGCAAGCCAAACGCCAAUCACCGAUAGUCACAAGAAAAGAAAAGAAAAAAAAAAAAGAAAGAAAAAAUUUGCAGUGGAUUUUGUCACGACGAUUCGUGUCUCGUAGGUCGCGCGAAAAUGAUGGGAUCGAACUCGAUCCGACGAACCGACGCCGUUGAGAAUCUUUCAUAUCUUCCAUCGAUUCGUUACGUGCCGUUUUCGAGUGUUUGUACACUAUUCAAUUAGUUUCCUUUUUCUUGUACACCGAAGUGAAAUUACGCGCGCGUACGCUUUCGCCCAACGAUGUUCCUCGAAUGUUCAAGCUAUUGUGUGUAUAUAAGUGACACUGUACACAGAAGAUUUUUGCGAUUUAUUUUUUUUUUUUUUUUUUUUUUUUUUUGCGUGAUCGAAGGAACCGUUGAUAGCGAAAUCGUGUCGCGACGGACAAAAGAGAAAGAACGGUUCCUACUUACUACGAACGGUAUAAAAAGUCAUAAUCGUAUACGAAUCGUCGACGGGCGUUUGUAAUUUAUUCCCAUAGAUGUAUAGUGAUAAAGAAAAAACACACCAAAGUGCAAUAUUACGCGUAUGCUAUGGCUCUGUAAAUGUGCAAAACGAGAAGAACAAAAAGAAAAGAAAGGGAAAGGACAAUUGUUAACGAAAAUAUACGCACGCGGUGAACAACGGUACGAACGACGGUGAAAACGAUCGUCGUUUUGGCUGUUAUUGUUAAUUGUUGUUGUUAGGAAGUGAUAUUGUAUCGUUGUAUGUAUCUUGUGUGCAUGUACACGUGUGUGACGCGAGAAACGAUCGUUGUAGGAAAUGAUGCCAAAAGUCGUAGCCGAUAUUUUUACACGGGAGAUUGAAUGUUGCACGGAAUUUUUUAUAGCGACCGCAUUUGAUCGAAAAUUCGUUUGAAAUCGACGAGUAACGACGAGAGCUGUGGGAUCGAUAAUAAUCAUUUUAUCAGUUCAGGUUAUUUUUUUCCAUUUCUCUCUCAAUCAUUCGCUAAUCAGUUUCAUCGUUUGGUCGCACCUUUUUCACAGUUUCUUUAUUGUGUUCAACAUUUUCGAUCUUUUACGUAUGUGUUUAACUUUUGGAGAAAUAAUCUGUCUUAAUCUUCACCAAUCAUAUAUAUAUAUAUAUAUAUAUAUAUCAUCCUCUCGUAAAUUUUCGUCGAUUUCUGCAAAUGAAAGGACAAACGACGUGUACCAUGUAUAUUGCACGAGGAAAAAAAAAAGAAAUAAUGCGGAGUGUUUCACGCGUGUAGGAACACAAAUGUCCAAGUUCUGCUGUAUGUCGUAAGUUUAAGCUUUCAUUAUACAUACACGUUUAGUAGAGGUAGUUAAGCUAACAACUAACUUUAUAUAUGUAUAACAAAACUGUACAUUUGUAUUUAGCCCCUUUGUUUAUAACACUUAUCAUCUUGUUAUUAAGUAUCCGAUUUAUAUAAUUUUUUUAUCAAACUUAUUAAAAAAAUAUUUAAAA